rnacentral:rRNA from 1 species
AUUGAACGCUGGCGGCAGGCCUAACACAUGCAAGUCGAGCGGAUGAAGGGAGCUUGCUCCUGGAUUCAGCGGCGGACGGGUGAGUAAUGCCUAGGAAUCUGCCUGGUAGUGGGGGAUAACGUCCGGAAACGGGCGCUAAUACCGCAUACGUCCUGAGGGAGAAAGUGGGGGAUCUUCGGACCUCACGCUAUCAGAUGAGCCUAGGUCGGAUUAGCUAGUUGGUGGGGUAAAGGCCUGCCAAGGCGACGAUCCGUAACUGGUCUGAGAGGAUGAUCAGUCACACUGGAACUGAGACACGGUCCAGACUCCUACGGGAGGCAGCAGUGGGGAAUAUUGGACAAUGGGCGAAAGCCUGAUCCAGCCAUGCCGCGUGUGUGAAGAAGGUCUUCGGAUUGUAAAGCACUUUAAGUUGGGAGGAAGGGCAGUAAGUUAAUACCUUGCUGUUUUGACGUUACCAACAGAAUAAGCACCGGCUAACUUCGU